rnacentral:rRNA from 1 species
UUUGAGUUUGAUCCUGGCUCAGAAUGAACGCUUGCGAUAUGCCUAAUACAUGCGAGUCUAACAAUUUAAUUGUGGCGAACGGGUGCGUAAUACAAGAGAAUCUGCCAUAUAGAUCCUGUAAUCAGGAAUACAUGUAAAAAGAUUAAUUUCGCUAUAUGAUGAGCUCUUGGAGGAUUAGGUAGUUGGUGGGAUAAAAGCUUACCAAGCCAUUGAUCCUUAGCCGGUCUAAGAGGAUGAUCGGCCACACUGGGACUGAGACACGGCCCAGACUCUUUUAGAGGCAGCAGUAGGGAAUAUUGGACAAUGGGCGAAAGCCUGAUCCAGCAAUAUCGCGUAGGUGAUGAAGAUUUUUCAAUCGUAAAGCCUUUUCAGUGAAGAAGAUGAUGACCGUAUUCACAAAAGAAGUCCCGGCUAACUCCGUGCCAGCAGCCGCGGUAAUACGGGGGGGGCUAGCGUUAUUCGGAAUGACUGGGCGUAAAGAGCGCGUAGGCGGGGUACUUUGUGCACAAGUAGAUAAAAACUUCAUUAUGUUUUUAUUCUUAUGAAACAAGUACUCUUGAGUAAAGCAGAAGACAGUAGAAUUCUCGGUGUAACAGCAAUAUGUGCAUAUAUCGAGAGGAAUGCCAAUGCGAAGGCAGUUGUCUAGACUUUUACUGACGCUGAGGCGCGAAAGCGUGGGGAGCAAAUAGGAUUAGGUACCCUGGUAGUCCACGCUGUCAACGAUGAGUGUUAAAUAUUGGAAUUUUUUUCAGUGUUACAGCUAACGCGUUAAACACUCCGCCUGAGGAGUACUGCCGCAAGGUUGAAACUCAAAGGAAUUGACGGGGGCCCGCACAAGCGGUGGAGCAUGUGGUUUAAUUCGACACUACGCGCAGAACCUUACCGAUCUUUGACAUGCUACAUAUACAAUAAAAUCCAAAUUUUAUUGUGCUGGCUUCUGUAGAAGCUCUAGUUAGCACAGGCGUUGCAUGGCUGUCGUCAGCUCGUGUCGUGAGAUGUUUGGUUAAGUCCCUUAACGAGCGAAACCCUUUUGGAAUAGUUGUUAACAGGUUAUGCUGAACACUCUUUCCUAACUGCCUACAAUAAGUAGGAGGAAGGUAAGGAUGACGUCAAGUCCUCAUGACCCUUAUAGAUCGGGCUACACAUGUGCUACAAUGGAAAUGACAAUGAGUCGCUAUGAUGUGAGUCAGAGCAAAUCUCCAAACAUUUUCUUAGUACGGAUUGAUCUCUGCAACUUGAGAUCAUGAAGCAGGAAUCGCUAGUAAUCGCGUAUCAGCACGUCGCGGUGAAUAUGUUCUCGGGCCUUGUACACACCGCCCGUCACGCCCUGGGAGUUCUCUUUGUUCAAAGCC